UACGUAGGGGGCUAGCGUUGUCCGGAAUCAUUGGGCGUAAAGCGCGCGUAGGCGGCCCGGUAAGUCCGCUGUGAAAGUCAAAGGCUCAACCUUUGAAUGUCAGCGGAUACUGCUGUGGCUUGAGUCCGGUAGGGGAGCGUGGAAUUCCUGGUGUAGCGGUGAAAUGCGCAGAUAUCAGGAGGAACACCAAUUGCGAAGGCAGCUUGCUGGGACGGUACUGACGCUGAGGCGCGAAAGCGUGGGGAGCAAACAGG
rnacentral:rRNA from 1 species